UUGACCUCAAAUCAGGUGGGACUACCCGCUGAACUUAAGCAUAUCAAAUAACCGGAAGAAA
rnacentral:rRNA from 1 species